rnacentral:rRNA from 1 species
UACGAGGGGGGCAAGCGUUGUUCGGAAUUACUGGGCGUAAAGGGCUCGUAGGCGGCCAACUAAGUCGGAUGUGAAAUCCCCAGGCUUAACCCGGGAACUGCAUCCGAUACUGGAUGGCUUGAAUCCGGGAGAGGGAUGCAGAAUUCCAGGUGUAGCGGUGAAAUGCGUAGAUAUCUGGAGGAAUACCGGUGGCGAAGGCGGCAUCCUGGACCGGCAUUGACGCUGAGUGAGCGAAAGCCAGGGGAGCAAACGGG